GACGAACGCUGGCGGCGUGCCUAAUACAUGCAAGUAGAACGCUGAGGGAGGAGCUUGCUUCUCUGGAUGAGUUGCGAACGGGUGAGUAACGCGUAGGUAACCUGCCUGGUAGCGGGGGAUAACUAUUGGAAACGAUAGCUAAUACCGCAUAAGAGUAGAUGUUGCAUGACAUUUUCUUAAAAGGUGCAAUUGCAUCACUACCAGAUGGACCUGCGUUGUAUUAGCUAGUUGGUGAGGUAACGGCCCACCAAGGCGACGAUACAUAGCCGACCGGAGAGGGUGGUCAGCCACACUGGGACUGUGACACGGCCCAGACUCCUACAGGAGGCAGCAGUAGUGAAUCGUCGGCAAUGGGCGGAAGUCUGACCGAGCAACGCCGCGGGAGUGAAGAAGGUUUUCGGAUCGUAAAGCUCUGUUGUAAGAGAAGAACGAGUGUGAGAGUGGAAAGUUCACACUGUGACGGUAUCUUACCAGAAAGCGACGGCUAACUACGUG
rnacentral:rRNA from 1 species